GACGAACGCUGGCGGCGUGCUUAACACAUGCAAGUCGAACGGAAAGGCCCUGCUUUUGUGGGGUGCUCGAGUGGCGAACGGGUGAGUAACACGUGAGUAACCUGCCCUUGACUUUGGGAUAACUUCAGGAAACUGGGGCUAAUACCGGAUAGGAGCUCCUGCUGCAUGGUGGGGGUUGGAAAGUUUCGGCGGUUGGGGAUGGACUCGCGGCUUAUCAGCUUGUUGGUGGGGUAGUGGCUUACCAAGGCUUUGACGGGUAGCCGGCCUGAGAGGGUGACCGGCCACAAUGGGACUGAGAUACGGCCCAGACUCCUACGGGAGGCAGCAGUGGGGAAUAUUGCACAAUGGGCGGAAGCCUGAUGCAGCAACGCCGCGUGCGGGAUGAAGGCCUUCGGGUUGUAAACCGCUUUCGCCUGUGACGAAGCGUGAGUGACGGUAAUGGGUAAAGAAGCACCGGCUAACUACGUG
rnacentral:rRNA from 1 species